UGCAAACUUCUCUGGGGGGAACUGCAUGAGAAGUGCAUCAAUUAGUAGCAUGCAUUUAAUGACAGCACCUUUAUAAUUAAAUAAAAAAAAAAAGAUCCUCCCCCUUUUUGGGUGUACCCUCCGAGGAUUCCAUGAAAGGUUAUAAGCUUACAGGGUUAGAUGAUAUUUUCUCAAGUUAUCAUUCCAUCAACACCAUGAGGAAUCAUAAGAAAUGCCAGAGGUCACUUCAAAACCAUGCUGAGGCAUGCCAGAAGUUCAGUAGACCAAUCAAAGAGGAAAUGAAAAAAAACAGGUGCUCUUACGUUGCCAUUUUUACCAGAUAUAAAAAGUCAUUGUCAAUUGUUCAUAUUUAUCCAUUAAACAUGUGGAGUGACACUUACAGGAAGGUUUCUUCAGGUUUAGGUGAGUUGACAAUCAUGUUCAUAGAUAAAUGGUAAUUCUUGUGCGACUAGCAUAUCCAACAAACACAUCUUUGAAAUUCAUUCCAUUUAAGAAGAAAUUAACAUAUUACCUCGUGUCUUGUCUUCAACUUUCCUGCAACAUUCAUCACAGUUGCAAUGUUUGACAAGCUAAAGGGAUGUUGGCCUUCAUGUAGUCUCAAUGAGAACAUCGUGGCUGUCAAACCACUCCCAUAUGAGAAUAGUAUCACCCGCUUACCUGCCAAUUCAGUGUGUUUAUUGUGAAGUAGGGAUGCGAAUGCUGCAUACAAAGAUGCAGUGUACAUAUUGCCAACUUGCUUUGGUAUCAAAGUGGUUGGUUGCACCUUUGCAUCAUAAAGGGGCUUGGCAACUUGUUGGGAUACCUUUUCAAGAUCCCGGUUUUGGUAGCUUUCAUCACCAGAUAAAGUUGAAAAUGGUGCCAGCUUUUCUUUAGCAGCGUCAUCAAUAGAGCUGGCAUUCCUCACAAAGUCAUUGAACACCAAACGAGCAAAGCUUUUCUGUACAAGCUUGUUGUAAGGAGAGUGAAAUACAAAAUAUUCAGCAUCAGAAAUAGAGAAUUGUUUGCCCUCCAAUUUCUCAUACUUGGCACAGAAAUGUUUGUAGCAGGAAUCAAGAGCCAUGAGGUAGCAUGUUUGAGAAAGUUUGCCGUCCACAACUGGAUAUUCGCUAGCCAGGUUGGGCUUGUAAAAAUCGUAAGCAUGAGACAUAUGGCUCCCCCUAAAUUUGCUUUCAAAAGCAAUAGGUGCCUCUGGACCUAUUAGCAUGGCAAUGGCUGCAGCUCCUCCAGUUGGUCGGGCUGGACCCUCUGCAUAGACCGCACUGUCAGUACACACUACAAGUCCAUAGCGUCCAUCCCAUGAAUUACUCUCUACCCAGUUGACACAGUUGAAUAAAGCUGCAGUCCCCCCAUAACAUGCAUUGGCAGAGUCAACGCCUUCAAUGUCAGUGUUUCCGAAUUUCUCGAAAAUUUGCAUCAAGAAGGUUUUAAUAGAUUUGCUCUUGUCGAUCACAGUCUCACUGCCAACUUCCAGACGACCGAUUUGGUUAGGAUCAAUAUUAUACUUCUCGAGGAGUGAAGUAACAGCAGUCAAACUCAUAGAGAUGACAUCUUCCACCUCAGUACAAAAUGCCAUGCAAUCCUGUCCAAGACCAAUGGUAUACUUCCCUUUGCUUGCACCAUCAUGAGCCUCCAAUGCUUCCUGCUGAACAUAGGUAGGAGGGAAAUAGAUGUCCAUAGCGAGAAUUCCCACAUUCUUUGCCAUUUUUUUUCGCCUGUCGAAUUCCUCCUCGAAACAACAGCAGCAAAACUAAAAGAAAUCAAAUAGAAAAAACAGAAGCAGCAAUUCUCUUUGUACAGAGAUUUAGAAGUUUCAGGGAAAGAAGGAAAUAGAUGGAGAAGAGAAACAGUGUAUUAACGGAGGGCUCCUUGACCUUGAGAGCAGCGAAGAGAGAAAGGGGAUUAUGGAGGCUCACAUGAAGAUUGUUGCGCUUAUAUAGGAAAAAAAAAAAAUUCUCCUCCGCUGCUCUGCUCUCUUCGAGUCUCGCCUGUCAAAAGCAGGCAUUGGGAGCUUGUG
rnacentral:misc_RNA from 1 species